rnacentral:sRNA from 1 species
ACAAUUUUUGGUUUUGAAUCGUAUAACAAGGAAGCACUACUUUACUCUUCGGGAUCUCGUUAAGGUUCUAGUUUUAUAUUCAAUCAUACACAUGACAUCUACUCAUAUUUCACUCCGAAAUGCUAACCCAGAUUCUUCUUGCUCUUCAAAGCUUUGAUGGUGUAUCCUAAGUCCGUAUGAUUUUUGGUUUUGAAUCUUCUAACAAGGAAAUAUAAAUUUAGGUUCAUAGCCCUGGUUGUGGUUUUAGCCUUAAAACUCAAUCAUCCACCUAUCAUCUUGAGAUAUUUGAUUCCAAAACGCUUACAAAGAUUGUGCUUACUUUUUAAAGUAUAUUUGCUCCUCAACACUAAACCUAAAACCUUAACCCCUAAACAUAAAUCCUACACCCUAAACUAAAAAUCCAAAACCUUAAAACUUAAACC